rnacentral:piRNA from 1 species
UUAAACAGUCUUGCCGGUAUU